rnacentral:rRNA from 1 species
AUUGAACGCUGGCGGCAUGCCUUACACAUGCAAGUCGAACGGCAGCACGGGGCAACCUGGUGGCGAGUGGCGAACGGGUGAGUAAUGCAUCGGAACGUACCUUUCAGUGGGGGAUAACGUAGCGAAAGUUACGCUAGUACCGCAGAUUCUGUGAGCAGGAAAGCAGGGGAUCGCAAGACCUUGCGCCGAUUGAGCGGCCGAUGUCAGAUUAGCUAGUUGGUGAGGUAAAGGCUCACCAAGGCGACGAUCUGUAGCGGGUCUGAGAGGAUGAUCCGCCACACUGGAACUGAGACACGGUCCAGACUCCUACGGGAGGCAGCAGUGGGGAAUUUUGGACAAUGGGGGCAACCCUGAUCCAGCCAUGCCGCGUGAGUGAAGAAGGCCUUCGGGUUGUAAAGCUCUUUCGGCCGGGAAGAAAUCGCACGGGCUAAUACCCUGUGUGGAUGGCGGUACCGGAAUAAGAAGCACCGGCUAACUACGUGCCAGCCGCCGCCGUAAUAC